rnacentral:rRNA from 1 species
CGGCGUGCCUAACACAUGCAAGUCAACUUGACUGAAGGAGCAAUCUGACAGUAGAGUGGCGCAAGGGUGCGUAACGCGUAAGUAACUUGCCCAAGGUAAGGAAUAACGUCGAGAAAUCGGCGCUAAUACCUCAUAAUGCAGCGGAUCCGCAUGGAUAUGUUGUUAAAGGUUUACCGCCUUGGGAUAGGCUUGCGUCUGAUUAGCUAGUUGGUGUGGUAACGGCACACCAAGGCUACGAUCAGUAACUGGUCUGAGAGGAUGAUCAGUCACACUGGAACUGAGACACGGUCCAGACUCCUACGGGAGGCAGCAGUGAGGAAUAUUGGGCAAUGCUCGAAAGAGUGACCCAGCAACGCCGCGUGGAGGAUGAAGGUAUUCUAUAUCGUAAACUCCUGUGAGAGCAGACGAAAGACAGAUUAUUAAUCUGGAUGACUGUAUGCUCAGAGGAAGCCCCGGCUAACUACGUG